rnacentral:rRNA from 1 species
GAUGAACGCUGGCGGCGUGCCUAAUACAUGCAAGUCGAACGAAACUUCUUUAUCACCGAGUGCUUGCACUCACCGAUAAAGAGUUGAGUGGCGAACGGGUGAGUAACACGUGGGCAACCUGCCCAAAAGAGGGGGAUAACACUUGGAAACAGGUGCUAAUACCGCAUAACCAUAGUUACCGCAUGGUAACUAUGUAAAAGGUGGCUAUACUACCGCUUUUGGAUGGGCCCGCGGCGCAUUAGCUAGUUGGUAGGGUAAAGGCUUACCAAGGCAAUGAUGCGUAGCCGAAUUGAGAGGUUGAUCGGCCACAUUGGGACUGAGACACGGCCCACACUCCUACGGGAGGCAGCAGUAGGGAAUCUUCCACAAUGGGCGAAAGCCUGAUGGAGCAACGCCGCGUGGGUGAAGAAGGUCUUCGGAUCGUAAAACCCUGUUGUUAGAGAAGAAAGUGCGUGAGAGUAACUGUUCACGUUUCGACGGUAUCUAACCAGAAAGCCACUGCUAACUACGUG